ACGCUACGUGCUUGACGUGUUUCUUGUAUGUCUAGAAUGCGAAUUGUGCGGAAAUACAGUAGCGAGAGUGUCGAGCAUUGUCGCGAACGGUACUGAGUGGUACGCAAACGAGUGUCGUGUGUCGAAAUACGUAAUCGUGCAUACGUCUUCGGUAGCGUCUGCUUGUCGCGACGCAACAAGUGCAGUCUUGCUGCGCGCGUAUUCGCCUGAAUAUCUCGAGAGGUUGUGCGUUAUGCAGUGGAGUUGGAAAUUGUCGGGUUAAACACAGUUAGUCGUCGUCGUUUUCCAACGUGAAGGGAAGAAGGUAGUCUGUGCAGCCUGUUUAGCUAAAAAGAGCAGGCUUUCUGUCUCGAGCCAUGCCAUAUGACGUCACGUGACGUCACUUUGGUCUCUGGUCGCUUUCUCUUUGCCGCGCCAUGUUUACUUUUAAUUCGUUGUCAGGACGCUCCGUGUUUAUCGCGUUGUUAAAAUUGUGCAUAGAUACGGCGUUGAAAGUACCGAAUAUAGUAUCGGAUAGUCGUCUCAAUUCGCAAGUUAGUCUGACGCGUAAUUGUCUUCGUAGAUGCUUCUCAUUCAUGCAAUUCUAACAUCGGUUGCGUCGCGGCAAGUUACGCACGCGUUUUGCGUUCGUACGUGACAUUAUUUGCGCAAUGUUCGGGAGUGUUCAAAAAUAUCGGGCGAUGAGCAUUAAUGUGCGGUUCAGCAGAACGAAAUGUCGCGACAUCGGAAUUCAGCAAGAAGACCGUAUCCGUGGAGAGGCAAUUUGGUAAUUCCUGUGGAUGGUCCAAGAGUGAGGUGGAUUAAAUAGAGACAAAGAAAACGCGCGCGAAUAAUUGAUCUGCUGUCGAUAUUCCUCGGGGCGAGAAUUGACGAGAGGAAUCCAACGUUCAUCGUCGCCGAAUUAUCGUGAAAUAAACGAACCGCGUUCGUCGCAUCGCGCGUUUUUUUCUUUUCUAGGAGUGCCGCCGUUUAAGUAUUAGACUAAUGGACUUUUCAUAACUCCCCAUUUGAUAAAAUCCUAAUUCGAGGGCCGGAAAUCGCACCUUCGCUGCGGCUUCGGAUUCAAUGCCAUUGAUUUCGUUUUCUUCCGCGUGGGGCUUAUCCUUUUUCGGGGACGGGUACGCGUGCGUCCUACUUGCCGACUCGGGGUGCUGAAUCCACGGGACUCCCUCCGAAUUGGAACUCUUAUCAUGAGUUUUAUAAAUUCGAAGAACCGCAGUGUCGCGCGAAAGACUUUAUAGAUAAUUAGUCCACGCGCGGAAAUUUAAUUUAUUAUUCGCGAGUGUUCCGCGAGUGUGCAACGAGAGGAAGAGAACAACCUUGAGGACUCUGAGAGGAGGAGGAGGAAGCCUGGGCAUCGGGCGUCAGCGGGGCAAC
rnacentral:lncRNA from 13 species